UUUGCGCUGCGUCAGGACAGCGUGGGUUUGUUUCCCACAGCGGAGGAACAACUAGAGAGCCGUGGACCCUCCCCCACUCCAACCCCUGUGUCCUUCAGCACAUCCUACACACUCCCUCCCCUUGCCCUUCUGAUUCACAGCGCCCACCUCCCUGCACCUACCCUAUUCGAUCUACAGGGGAACGAAGUCGCUUCGUGACCGCCAGCCCGGGAAGGGGCGCCAGCCCGCUGGCGGAGGCACGGCUUAGAGGGGCGUCUUGGGCAGAGAGAGGUUUGGGGCUGGGGUGUGUGUGUGUUGAGAUUGGGAGAGUGCGCUGAUAGCGCAGAGAAUGUAUACACGAGGGUUAGACGUGGAGGACCUGGGGCUCUGGUCUCUUUUUUCCCUGCAAUCGUGCAUGACAGAGGGGUUCUCACAGCAAGCUCGGUAGGCAACAGCACCCUCUCCAAGACUGCAUUUCCCAGAAGGCAAUGCGCGAGUGAGUGUGCUGGGAAGGCGGCCUGUGCUGCACUUGCGCGAAGUGAGCUGAAAGGUGGGAGGGAAAGGACAGGCGUGCCCGCGGCGGGGCUGGUGGGAGGGGGCCGCGCGGCAGCGGCGCCGGGGCGGGCGCGCGUCCGCGGCGGUGAUGGCGGUGCGUGAACGCGCGACGGCAGCAAUGGCCGCACUGGAGCGGCGGGUGCCGAAUCUCGAUGACUUCGCGGGACAGAGCUGGAGUUCGUGGGUGGAGCGGGCCGACCUGCCCGCGGCUGACGGGGCUGAGUUGGAGGAGAGUAACAAAAACAUGAAGAAGUUGGAUGCCAUGACCCUCAUUAAAGAAGACAUGUCCAUCUUCGGGCACUGCCCUGCCCAUGACGACUUCUAUUUGGUUGUGUGUAACCACUGCAGCCAAGUGGUGAAGCCUCAAGCUUUCCAGAAGCACUGCGAAAGAAGACAUGGGCCCCUCAGCAAGCUUUACACCCGGGCCCCACCACCACCUCCAGCCCCUGCCAGCUCUCAGAAAUGCCAUGUAGUGAAUGGGCAGGGCCCAGCUUGUAGGGCCCCAGGUUCCACCAAAACCUCCUCCAGGGAGAAGGGCCAGGGGUCCCGGAGCCGUGGCCACCAACCUCCUGAGAAGACCCAGAAGGACAACCUCUGCCUUUUCGUGCCUGUGGUGAAUCUGGAGAAGAUGUCCGGUCUUCCGAAGCCUGAUGGACAUGGAAUCAGAGUGGCUCCACCCUCUGCUUUCCUCAGCCAGCCGGCUGGCCUCACAAAGGACUCACCUGGAAAAAACCUCAUGGCACCCCCUUCUAAAGAGCUUCCUGGCAGAGAGAACAUGGAGAUAACCCCCGGCGAGGGCCCCACUCGCUGUGCUGAAGGCAGUUCCCCUGAAAAGGAGCCUGGUGGAGCCAGGCUACCCCCCAAAACCCACAGGAAGAUGGCUCGGAAGGAGUGUGAUCUCAACAGGCAGUGUGGGGUAAUAAAUCCAGAGACCAAAAAGAUCUGUACUCGCCUGCUGACCUGCAAGAUCCACUCGGUGCACCAGCGUCGGGAAGUCCAGGGCCGGGCCAAGGACUUUGAUGUGCUAGUGGCAGAGCUGAAGGCCAACUCCCGCAAAGGGGAGUCUCCUAAGGAGAAGAGCCCAGGACGCAAGGAGCCAGUUCUCGAGCGCCCCUCCCAGGAGCCCCCCUCCUCAGUCCAGGUUGUGGCAGUGGCAGCUGCUCCCAGCAGCAACUUCUCUGCUCGUGUCAAGCAGACCUACCCGUACUGUGCACUGCCCAGGUCCCAGGCCUCCUCUGAGAGUGAGCUGGAUGAUGAAGGCCCCUGUGGUGGUGAUGGGGACCCAGGCCUGUUCCCCUUCCCCUUACCCCGGGUUGGGGCCCAGGCCUCCAGCGAGGAGAGUGAGGAGGAGGGGACAUCUGAUGACUUCCACCUCCCCACUGACUGCCAUUAUGCAACCCGGCCCCCACGGCCACAGGCGUUCUGCACCUUUGGGAGCCGGCUAGUGAGCCCAGGAUGCUACGUGUUUAGCCGCCGGCUGGACCGGUUCUGCUCAGCACUGAGCUCCAUGCUGGAACGACACCUCAGCUCACACAUGUGGAAGAAAAUCCCACCAGCGGCCGAGCCUCCAUCCCACCUUGUUACCUCCCCCCUCUCUGCUCCCCUGAGCCCAUCUUCUAUGGGCAGCUGCCCCCGUCUUCCAGGCCCACCCCCAAGAUCUGCCUACCCAGCCUCCACGCCCCCCACCAAGGACAGCCUUGUCCCCAACUACCCUGCAGGCUCCCCCAGUGUGGCAGCUGCCUGCAGCCAGGCAGAGUGCAUGGGCGGAAGCCAGGCCAUCACCUCACCACUGCCUGCCAACACGCCAUCCCCGUCCUUCAGCAAGCUGCCACCUUCAAAGGCCAGCAAGUCAUCCAAAGGCAAGGAUGGGGCUGAGGUGGAGGCCCCUUCUCGAAAGCGAAAAUUAUCCCCAGGCCCCACCACUUUCAAACGGACCUGCAUCCUCGAGCCCCCUGGAAAAGGCAAACCCUCGGGCUGCCGGGGUCUCUCCGCCAAGACUAAAACAGCCCUUGGCAUGGGGCUUAAUGGGACAGUGGGGCCAAGAGUGAAGCGGGCAGGUCCCCUGGACUGUCGGGGUUCCCCCCAUCUGUCCCCCACACCAGUCAAAACUCAGCUGGACAGCCAGGGAGCAGCUGGACAGCCAACCAAGGCCCUGCCAACCACCUGCCUCUCUGAGGAGGAGAUAGUGAAGAAGCGGAAAAACCUGGCCACAUACUGCCGGCCAGUGAAGGCCAAGCACUGCCAGGCUGGUGCCCCCACUGAUGCGGCCUGCUCUGUGCGCCGUAAGAAGCCGGGUCCAGCCAUGGCCUUUGAGGAGAAGUGUUCUACACUGAAGGAACUGGAGCUACCUCUGUCCCCAGAAGGAAAGGAAGUUGAACUCCAUGAGCUCUGAUAAGAAAGGUUUUCAGGUGCCAGGCAGUUUCUCCAGGGUUUCUGGUAAAACCCGCAGCCAGGUUUAUUUGCCUCUUCUGAUGGGAUCCCUGGAGUAGCAUGCUAUGGGUUAUCCAUAUGAUCUCGGCCAGGAGGGACUUACUAGAGUCUAAAGCCCAUUAACAAGAAAGUGCCUGCUCACUGCGAUGGAGCCGCCAGCACCUCCUCCCCUCCAGAUCUGGGCCCCAGGCUGCUGCCGC